CCUGUGGCGCGUUCGGCUGUUAACCGAAAGGUUGGUGGUUCGAGCCCACCCGGG
rnacentral:tRNA from 1 species